AGACAAAAAAUGCCGAAUCCUGGAGCAGCAAAAGCUCUGGUACGGGGGACUUCUUUACUUGGGGUGAAUGAAUGCUCAGCUGUUUUAAUAAACUGAGCGCGCUAGGGAAACCUCUUCCCGAACCCGUCAACUAACCUCGGAGGCUUCAAGGAGGAACAAU
rnacentral:sRNA from 2 species